rnacentral:rRNA from 1 species
GACGAACGCUGGCGGCGUGCUUAACACAUGCAAGUCGAACGGAAAGGCCUCUUUCGGGGGGUACUCGAGUGGCGAACGGGUGAGUAACACGUGAGUAACCUGCCCUUGACUUUGGGAUAACUUCAGGAAACUGGGGCUAAUACCGGAUAGGAGCUCCUGCUGCAUGGUGGGGGUUGGAAAGUUUCGGCGGUUGGGGAUGGACUCGCGGCUUAUCAGCUUGUUGGUGGGGUAGUGGCUUACCAAGGCUUUGACGGGUAGCCGGCCUGAGAGGGUGACCGGCCACAUUGGGACAGAGAUACGGCCCAGACUCCUACGGGAGGCAGCAGUGGGGAAUAUUGCACAAUGGGUGGAAGCCUGAUGCAGCAACGCCGUGUGCGGGAUGACGGCCUUCGGGUUGUAAACCGCUUUCGCUCAUGACGAAGCUUUGUGUGACGGUAGUGGGUAAAGAAGCACCGGCUAACUACGUG